UAUAAAAGCAAACAUUUCACCAUCCAUGUCAAACGAAAAGAAGUUGGCUUUCAUGGUUGUAUGAUUUACUGAUCCGCCGGCAGAGACUUAGCUGAGAACUGCUUGGUCUUGAAAGAUUUAUUUUCGGUAAUUUUAUUUCUUUCCUGGUUCUAUUUGUCACAGUUAUUGGGCGUACCAUGAGAGACUGCUCCGGUGAUGAUUUUAUCAGAUGCCUUUAUAUCGUUCCAAUUUCUGAAAGCUAUAUCAAAGUUAAAGCUUUACCGUGUGGAACUGAAGGGAAAACUGAGGAGCUUUAAAAGACCAUAAACAUUAGCAUAAUUUAUGAUUCUAUUGUUGUGAAAAUAUAUUGCUAACUCUAUGUGUGGUUCAGUGGUUGUAGAGAGAGUCUCGUGCUAAAUUUUUUCAAUUUAAUUAGCUUUUUGGUUGUUGUGGUUCAUGGUGAUUGGCAGUAAGGGUAAUGGUUUAAGAUUUCGUAAUUUAGUCGUGAAAAUUAGACACUAUUAUUAUUGUGGAAGACUUCUUGGAUAAUUUUCUCGGUGCCGAGAAAGUAACCCACUUGAAGAUUUUUACCUUACUCUUAUGGCUCAUAACGUGGCGUCAAUUCGGAAUCUUUGAGCAUAUUUACUCUUUAGUUGUUUCACUCUGAUGUGUUUCACACACAGAUUGUGUUUGAAAAGUUUUCCUGUUGUAUGAUUUUUCUUGUGAUAUAUGUUACGUGUUUGGAAUGUUUCUUGUUUGAAACGUCAAAACUCAAACUAUAAUGAGUAAUGCUAGUUACGCAAGCGCCGCACGAUCUUUUGAAAAGAGUGGGUUCACUAUUGAAAAUUUAGUAUUUUUAUGUGGGUCCUGUAUUUACUCACAUUUUUUUAGAGAGAUUGUGCGGUCCUUAUGCACUUCACAAUGACAAAUAUCAUUUCUUUGUUAGUAAAUAGAGUUAGGCAUCCUCAUCAAUUAAGCUGUUUUUAUUUUAAUAGAAGUCUAAAGCUUAUCCUUAAGUAUUUAUAUUAGCUGGAAGUCUUACUGUAAACCUAUAUAAACACCACAUUUCAUUAAUAAAUUGCUGAAUCAUAUUUUGCAAAAAAGAAAAAAUGAUUGGUUUUUUGUGAUUCCAGUAAAAAUCUGAGGAGGUUUAAGGUUCCUUUAAAACCCUACCAUUUACUAGUAUCUUAAUUGAUGAGGAAACACUAGCAGUGCUUGUGGUAAAAUGCUCAAUGAACUGCUUUGGAAUGGAGGACAAAGAUAAAGCAUCCAGCUUCAUGAAUGGCCAUAAUGGCUGGAUAUGCACCUAUCGUUCGUAAUUUAAUUAGUUGGUUUCUAUGCUACUUGUAGAAACUAGAAACCCAUAUAUGAGGGAUUUAACUAUUUUAUUGCUAAAAACCUCUUCUAAUUUUGCAGUUUGUUUGUUAAGUUUGUAUGGAAGUAUGUAUCCACUUAAUAACAUAACUAUUUUCUAAUCCCUUCGAACAGUAAAGUGUAUUAAAAGGGGGGAAACCAAAAACAGUUAUUCAGUUUAUUUGUCCAAAGCAUGUUCUUUUGGAAGGAAAAAAAUAAGAGGUCAGUUUCUAAUUAUAGUGUUUCGGCUUUCAUGAUGUUCCUUUGUUAUCUAUUAUUUUAGGGGAAGCAAAUGUUAUUGGAUUGGUUUACACAAAUCAAGACCAAACAAUAGAGGUGUUCAGUUAGACACAUUGGCUAUGAGUUUGAAUAAGCAGAGACAAAGUGAAAAUUCAACUAUCUGGCACAACUGUGAUUGUAUAGCAAGUUAAUUUAGAUGUCUUCUUCACUGUCCUCCAUAAUAGUCGCACCUUAGCUUACUAUGACCAAAUGUUAGUAGGUUUUGAACAUUUUCUUCUUGAUUAGGUUCCUAUUUGAUCACUAGAGUUCUGUACAAUGUAGUGUCUUGUUAAAGAUAUUGUGCCUUGCAGUUCUAGCAGCAUUUGCUCUUUAUUCAUUCUCAACAAUGUAUGAUCAAAUCUAUAUGACCACUCAUUUUACACUUCAAGGAAGACUUUGUUGCAAGUCAAGCCUGUGUAUCAACCAUCAGUAACAAAGGUUUGGUUAUGGUUAUGGUUAUGGUUAUGGUUACAUCUUCCAAACAUUUUAUUGUGUGGGUAAGGGGGAGGAAAUGCUUGAAUGCUAAAUAUUUUCUUCAUUUCUUUUUUUUUUCCUUUUUUGGCUAUCUAUGACCGAAUGGAAUUUGUACAACUGUGACUUUCCCAAUGGUCGGAUGCCACUUCAAGAUGUGAUAGUUGAGGGAAUGGCAAGAUCUGGAAUAUAAAGAAACAAGGUCAGUGGCCAAAGACAUUGCUGAGAGGUGGAUCAGAACCAACUAUGUCUACAAGAAAAAAGGGAAAUGGACAAAAAAUAUGUUGGAAAAGUGUGGGGAAUUCAGAGUUGUGGAUACUGACUGGUUCUGUCUGUUCAAAGGGAGUUGUUUUGAAAGGCCUUGAGACCAGAAGAUAGAUUGCUAACGCCUUCACUACUAGACCGGGCGGGCACCAAGCCAGCAGAUAGUAGAGCACCAGGACUACUAACAGCGAUUGUGUCUGAAUGUCAUAACUUAGGACAUCCUACUGAGGAAAUUUAAGAGAUCAAGAAUGCAUUUUCUCAAAUUUUAAACCAGAAGCCUGUCUUGUUUCUGCUUUUGGUUAUAUACUGCUGAUUCAAGCUCCCUUAUGGUACGAGGGCUACACUAAGAACUUUUCCAUUACUUGAGACUAAACUCAUCAACAAGCUGAUAAUGAGAUUGGAAGAUCCAAGUUCCUUGUAAUUCUCCUCCAAAAUUACCUAGUGUAAUUAAGAGAGAAAGAGACAGUUGCUGGGUUCAUUCUGAUUGUGGGCUCUACACGUAGGCAAUGUCAAAUAUAAUGGGGUUCCCAUGUUGCUUCCACCCUACAUUUGGAAUGAACUGUAAAUGAUGUUUUACUCUUGCUUGUUGGGUAAUCUAUGAUGGGACCAAUGAAACUUCUUGCAUUUUCCUAAGUAAUGAAGGCUGCCUAAACUUGUUCUGUUUC